GGAAGAGAGGAAAGAGGUCAAGAAUUAGGAUCCUCAGUUAGAAACUGGAGAAGGAAAAUAUGAGUUUAUUGAAUAAUAAAUUCAUAUGAGGAACUGAGAUAUGACAGGUGAAUUACACGGCUGGCAAGUGAGAGAGAGCACAAGCAGGGGGAGUGGAGAGAGAGAAGCUGGCUUCCC